rnacentral:rRNA from 1 species
AUUAAACGCUAGCGGCAUGCCUUACACAUGCAAGUCGAACGGCAGCGGGCUCUUCGGAGCGCCGGCGAGUGGCAAACGGGUGAGUAAUACAUCGGAACAUGCCCAUUAGUGGGGGAUAGCUCGGCGAAAGCCGAAUUAAUACCGCAUACGACCUUCGGGUGAAAGGGGGGGAUCUUCGGACCUCUCGCUAUUGGAGUGGCCGAUGGCUGAUUAGUUUGUUGGUGGGGUAACGGCCUACCAAGACUGCGAUCAGUAGCUGGUCUGAGAGGACGAUCAGCCACACUGGGACUGCGACACGGCCCAGACUCCUACGGGAGGCAGCAGUGGGGAAUCUUGGACAAUGGGCGAAAGCCUGAUCCAGCAAUGCCGCGUGUGCGAUGAAGGCUUUCGGGUUGUAAAGCACUUUUAUCAGGGAAGAAAUGGUUUGGGAUAAUACCUCAAAUAGCUGACGGUACCUGAAGAAUAAGCACCGGCUAACUACG